rnacentral:rRNA from 1 species
AUUGAACGCUGGCGGCAUGCCUUACACAUGCAAGUCGAACGGUAACAGGUCUUCGGAUGCCGACGAGUGGCGAACGGGUGAGUAAUGCAUCGGAACGUGCCCAGUCGUGGGGGAUAACGCAGCGAAAGCUGUGCUAAUACCGCAUACGAUCUGUGGAUGAAAGCAGGGGACCUUCGGGCCUCGCGCGAUUGGAGCGGCCGAUGUCAGAUUAGGUAGUUGGUGGGGUAAAGGCUCACCAAGCCAACGAUCUUUAGCUGGUCUGAGAGGACGACCCGCCACACUGGGACUGAGACACGGCCCAGACUCCUACGGGAGGCAGCAGUGGGGAAUUUUGGACAAUGGGCGCAAGCCUGAUCCAGCAAUGCCGCGUGCAGGAAGAAGGCCUUCGGGUUGUAAACUGCUUUUGUACGGAACGAAACGGUCCUGGUUAAUACCUGGGGCUAAUGACGGUACCGUAAGAAUAAGCACCGGCUAACUACGUGCCAGCAGCCGCCGUAAUAC